UACGUAGGGUGCAAGCGUUAAUCGGAAUUACUGGGCGUAAAGCGUGCGCAGGCGGCUUUGCAAGACAGAUGUGAAAUCCCCGGGCUCAACCUGGGAACUGCAUUUGUGACUGCAUGGCUGGAGUGCGGCAGAGGGGGAUGGAAUUCCGCGUGUAGCAGUGAAAUGCGUAGAUAUGCGGAGGAACACCGAUGGCGAAGGCAACCCUCCGGAGGUCGACACUGACGCUCAUGCACGAAAGCGUGGGGAGCAAACAGG
rnacentral:rRNA from 1 species